ACCUUAUCUUAGCGGCGGACGGGUGAGUAAUGCUUAGGAAUCUGCCUAUUAGUGGGGGACAACAUUCCGAAAGGAAUGCUAAUACCGCAUACGUCCUACGGGAGAAAGCAGGCGAUCUUCGGACCUUGCGCUAAUAGAUGAGCCUAAGUCGGAUUAGCUAGUUGGUGGGGUAAAGGCCUACCAAGGCGACGAUCUGUAGCGGGUCUGAGAGGAUGAUCCGCCACACUGGGACUGAGACACGGCCCAGACUCCUACGGGAGGCAGCAGUGGGGAAUAUUGGACAAUGGGGGAAACCCUGAUCCAGCCAUGCCGCGUGUGUGAAGAAGGCCUUAUGGUUGUAAAGCACUUUAAGCGAGGAGGAGGCUACUGGGACUAAUACUCUUGGAUAGUGGACGUUACUCGCAGAAUAAGCACCGGCUAACUCUGUGCCAGCAGCCGCGGUAAUACAGAGGGUGCGAGCGUUAAUCGGAUUUACUGGGCGUAAAGCGUGCGUAGGCGGCUUUUUAAGUCGGAUGUGAAAUCCCCGAGCUUAACUUGGGAAUUGCAUUCGAUACUGGGAAGCUAGAGUAUGGGAGAGGAUGGUAGAAUUCCAGGUGUAGCGGUGAAAUGCGUAGAGAUCUGGAGGAAUACCGAUGGCGAAGGCAGCCAUCUGGCCUAAUACUGACGCUGAGGUACGAAAGCAUGGGGAGCAAACAGGAUUAGAUACCCUGGUAGUCCAUGCCGUAAACGAUGUCUACUAGCCGUUGGGGCCUUUGAGGCUUUAGUGGCGCAGCUAACGCGAUAAGUAGACCGCCUGGGGAGUACGGUCGCAAGACUAAAAACUCAAUGAAUUGACGGGGGCCCGCACAAGCGGUGGAGCAUG
rnacentral:rRNA from 1 species